rnacentral:rRNA from 1 species
UACGGAGGAUGCAAGCGUUAUCCGGAAUCAUUGGGCGUAAAGAGUCCGUAGGUGGCACAUCAAGUCUGCUUUCAAAGACCGAAGCUCAACUUCGGGGUGGGGGUAGAAACUGGUAAGCUAGAGUAUAGUAGGGGUAGAGGGAAUUCCUAGUGUAGCGGUGAAAUGCGUAGAGAUUAGGAAGAACACCAGUGGCGAAGGCGCUCUACUGGGCAUAUACUGACACUGAGGGACGAAAGCUAGGGUAGCGAAAGGG